CCGACUCUGCUUUCGCUCUCACCAACUCUGCGUCAGCUCUUGUAGAAGCCGAUCCUUCAUCGGUCAGUGCCCACCUUUUCAGGCUGGCCCAAUGUCUUCCACGUUCGGCUUCGAGUUCAAUGAUGCAUCCAUCUCUUUCUCAUCGAAGCCAAUGCAUCGAAUGUUUCUUGCUCUUGAUCUGCGACUCAAGAGCCAAGAUG
rnacentral:lncRNA from 1 species